AAGGAAAUUUAUCUGUUUACCCUACAGUUCUGUGAGCCAGCCGGGAGAUACCGAAACACCGUACUCACUGUGCAGCCUGCAGACAAGAUUCUAGAAAACUGACAGAAGCCAGCAGAAGGACAUGCCUGGAAACUUUGGUUAUAUUAUGAAGACUUCAACUGGAAUGUCAUAUUUGAGAGAGGCAUGCACACAUUCAGACUGGACUAGAUCCUGAAUUCUUUUCGUUUCCUCUAGUGUUUGGCUACGACUCUCCAAACCAACAUGUCCAAGUUUUCUCCCACCCUUUCUAAGUUGAAAUUAUCGGGAACUAAAACUACACUUUCUCCAAAGCCAUGCAAGCUAGUUAGACAACGUGAUCUCAACGUCAGAGAAAUCGCAAGAGCUCAGGUAUAGACCGUCUCCAUGCGUGUUGCUGUAUGGGCCACUCACAAAGAUCACCAGAGACAUUCAAACUACAAACCGGGAAAAUCUGUCAAAUUGCCACCGCCAGCCCUCGCUCCAUCUGAAGACGCUUUGAGCUGGACAUCGACAACUCUUCUCCACUGGCUGCCUUCGAAACUCAGAAACUGAGAUGGACACUUUCUCUGCCUCUCUGCCCGUGAAUUGUCUUCAUCCCAUUGGAUGUCCCAAACCACUACCCUCUUCUCCACAGUCCAGGACUGCAUGUAAGCCUCAAUUGCCUGACCGACUGGGUCUCAUAUCUUUGGGGCCUCUGUAUGUAUAAAAUUAAAUUAAAUUUGUUAUUCUCCUAUUCAUCUCUCCUCCCCCGUGGGGGGGGGGUGUCUAGAAGAGUAGAGGGACAUUUGUGUUUCUUCCUCUGUACAACCCUGAGGAAUC